rnacentral:rRNA from 1 species
GAUGAACGCUGGCGGCGUGCCUAAUACAUGCAAGUCGAGCGAACAGAUGAGGAGCUUGCUCCUCUGACGUUAGCGGCGGACGGGUGAGUAACACGUGGAUAACCUGCCUAUAAGACUGGGAUAACUUCGGGAAACCGGAGCUAAUACCGGAUAAUAUAUUGAACCGCAUGGUUCCAUAGUGAAAGACGGUUUUGCUGUCACUUAUAGAUGGAUCCGCGCCGCAUUAGCUAGUUGGUAAGGUAACGGCUUACCAAGGCAACGAUGCGUAGCCGACCUGAGAGGGUGAUCGGCCACACUGGAACUGAGACACGGUCCAGACGCCUACGGGAGGCAGCAGUAGGGAAUCUUCCGCAAUGGGCGAAAGCCUGACGGAGCAACGCCGCGUGAGUGAUGAAGGUCUUCGGAUCGUAAAACUCUGUUAUUAGGGAAGAACAAAUGUGUAAGUAACUAUGCACGUCUUGACGGUACCUAAUCAGAAAGCCACGGCUAACUACGUG